rnacentral:rRNA from 1 species
CCUACGGGAGGCAGCAGUGGGGAAUCUUGCGCAAUGGGCGAAAGCCUGACGCAGCAACGCCGCGUGCGGGAAGAAGGCUUUCGGGCUGUAAACCGCUUUCAGCAGGAACGAAAAUGACGGUACCUGCAGAAGAAGGAGCGGCCAACUAUGUGCCAGCAGCCGCGGUGAUACAUAGGCUUCAAGCGUUGUCCGGAUUUAUUGGGCGUAAAGAGUUCGUAGGCGGUCGAGUAAGUCGGGUGUGAAAAUUCUGGGCUCAACCCAGAGACGCCACCCGAUACUGCUUGACUUGAGUUCGAUAGGGGAGUGGGGAAUUCCUAGUGUAGCGGUGAAAUGCGCAGAUAUUAGGAGGAACACCGGUGGCGAAGGCGCCACUCUGGAUCGAUACUGACGCUGAGGAACGAAAGCAUGGGUAGCAAACAGGAUUAGAUACCCUGGUAGUCCAUGCCGUAAACGGUGGGCACUAGGUGUGGGUUUCUAUUAACGAAAUCCGCGCCGUCGCUAACGCAUUAAGUGCCCCGCCUGGGGGAGGUACGGUCGCGAGAACGAAACUACAAANAGUAAGUAGUAGCGUUGUAGAGUUGCCGACGGACGACGACGAGGGAGGAGG